rnacentral:rRNA from 1 species
GAUGGACGCUGGCGGCGUGCCUAAUACAUGCAAGUCGAGCGAACGGACGAGAAGCUUGCUUUUCUGAUGUUAGCGGCGGACGGGUGAGUAACACGUGGAUAACCUACCUAUAAGACCGGGAUAACUUCGGGAAACCGGAGCUAAUACCGGAUAAUAUUUUGAACCGCAUGGUUCAAAAGUGAGAGACGGUCUUGCUGUCACUUAUAGAUGGAUCCGCGCUGCAUUAGCUAGUUGGUAAGGUAACGGCUUACCAAGGCAACGAUGCAUAGCCGACCUGAGAGGGUGAUCGGCCACACUGGAACUGAGACACGGUCCAGACUCCUACGGGAGGCAGCAGUAGGGAAUCUUCCGCAAUAGGCGAAAGCCUGACGGAGCAACGCCGCGUGAGUGAUGAAGGUCUUCGGAUCGUAAAACUCUGUUAUUAGGGAAGAACAUAUGUGUAAGUAACUGUGCACAUCUUGACGGUACCUAAUCAGAAAGCCACGGCUAACUACGUG